AUUGAACGCUGGCGGCAGGCUUAACCCAUGCAAGUCGAGCGAGCGGCGGACGGGUGAGUAAUGUAUGGGAAACUGCCUGAUGGAGGGGGCUAACUACUGGAAACGGUAGCUAAUACCGCAUACCAUCAGAUGUGCCCAGAUGGGCUUAGCUAGUAGGUGGGGUAUUGGCUCACCUAGGCCACGAUCACUAGCUGGUCUGAGAGGAUGACCAGCCACACUGGAACGGAGACACGGUCAAGACUCCUACGGGAGGCAGCAGUGGGGAAUAUUGCACAAUGGGCGCAAGCCUGAUGCAGCCAUGCCGCGUGUGUGAAGAAGGCCUUCGGGUUGUAAAGCACUUUCAGCGAGGAGGCGUUACUCGCAGAAGAAGCAACGGCUAACUACGUGCCAGCAGCCGCGGUAAUAC
rnacentral:rRNA from 1 species